UGGAGGUGGGAUCUUAGCAAUUUAUUCUUUGUUUAUUUUAUGGAAGGUGAAAUAAUCUCUUAUAUGUCUUCUCUUAUGAUCCUGAAUUAGAGAGAGGCAUAUAUGAGGUCUGUGUGCUUCUUUUGAAGUUGUGGUCACUGUAAAGACUUUCUUUGUACUUUUGCUAUUGGAAGCUUUAUAGGUACUUCACCUCUUGGAUUGUCAAAAGAA
rnacentral:misc_RNA from 1 species